AAUAGUUUUAAUAUGUAUAAUUACAUUUAGAUCUUAUGAUCAGUGAUCCAGACCGUUGGAUUGUUGGGCCUCAUCAUCUAAGUACUGUGCCCAAGGAAUCUCCCACAUUUGAAGAUCCCAUCCGUCCAUCUUAGCCUUUUUUGACAACGAAGGCGGGCCAUGUAGUUUUGAAGGUUAGGAUUGAACAAUCGAGGAGAUUUAUGAGGUAUGGCCCAUCUGCGGUGAGCCCCAACAUAACAACGGUCCGGAUUGCCAGAUCGUGUGCCCAAUUUUACAAAACGAGAACCCAAAAUUGGAUGGCUGUGAUUGAAAGAAGAAGAAAAAUGGUUGGUUGGAUUACCUUUGGAGGCUUGAAAGGAUAGUCAGGAGGGAAAUGGAUGGUCACAAGGAAUACACCUCCGGAGUAGGGACUGUCAUUUGGACCGAUGAUCGUUGCUUGCCAAUGGAA